GAACAAUCACCCAGUAUCUCUCAGCCAAAUUCUCCCCAACUCUUCUGUUUCUUCAAAAGCUGUAUUUUUAUCAUGUCCAAUGCUCGUGCUCACCUUACAAGUCAAGUCACAGUACAUUGGCCCCUCUGCUCACCUGUGCCUGCCUUCCUCUCCUACAUCUCCAUGCCACCUGCAUCUCCUGACUCCCUGCCUCACCACUUCCCUGUCUCUUCCUCUGAAAACAAUCUUUCUCUUAUUUCCAUCUUCCCUCCACCUCUGUUGCUCAACUCCAGAGCCAUAGUCAACCUCAUACCCCCUGCUGCAGCCUUCUUUGACACAGACAGUUUGACUCCUCAGCUUGGCGGAGCUUUGCUUGAAGCACAGAGGAGAAAGCCUGGAGGUUGACAGGGCGAACAUUCUCAGGGGCAGGGAGUGAGGUGAUGUCUCACAGGUAUCCAGGGUUGCCAUAGGUGUCCACUU